AUGGCUAUGUUUUCAGGCCCUCAAAGUCAUAAAAUCAAACAAGUAGAGCAAUGGAAAUGGUAUGCUUCGGGUCAUGCCCAAGUAGGUCCAGAGGACACAAGAUCCAGCACAGCCCAGACAGUCACUCAGUCUCCACAGCAAAUGUCUGUCCAGGAGGCAGAGUCAGUGACCUUGGACUGCACAUAUGACACUAGGGAAAGUAAUUAUUAUUUGUUCUGGUACAAACAGCCUCCCAGCGGGGAGAUGAUUUUCAUUAUUCGCCAGGAGGCUUUUAAGCAACAGAACGCGACAGAGAAUCGCUUUUCUGUGAACUUCCAGAAAGCAGCCAAGUCCUUCAGCCUCAGGAUCUCAGACUCACAGCUGGACGAUGCUGCGUUGUAUUUCUGUGCUCUCAGUGGCCCACAGUGA